GAAAAAUUAGUUAAAUUAUAAUGCAAGUUUGUCAAGCUUGAGUUGUCCUCAGGACAUUUUUCU
rnacentral:tRNA from 1 species